GUGCUCGCUUCAGCAACACAUACACUAAAAUUGGAACAAUACAGAGAUUAGCAUGGCCCCUGUGCAAGGAUAACACACAGAUUUGUGAAGUGUUCCACAUUAAA
rnacentral:snRNA from 1 species